AUCAAGUGGCUCCCCAGUGAUAGGUGA
rnacentral:piRNA from 1 species